UUAAGAAUUAAUUUAGAAUUUUUUUUUUGGAAAAGGGGAUUUGAAAUUGAAAAAGAAAAAGAAAAAAAGGGAUUAGAGAGGAUCUGAUUUUUGGGCCUGUUGAAUCUCAAAUCCCACAAGCCCAAACCAGAAUUCCCAAUUAACUUGUUCAAAACCAGCCCACGACCCGCCCCAAAAUCUGGUCUGCCCCACGUUGAGACCAAACGAUCCCGUUUUAAUAACCCUUCGAUCUGGGCCGUUAAUUUUGUUUAAUCUGACGGUCCGGAACUGGUUGGGUUAUACCUAUUUAAGUGUCUGAAAAGCCCCCCCUUAGACCCCCCUAGCUCACUCGUCUCUCUCGAACCUCACCUCUCAGAGACUUACCAUGAACCCUAACGCCACCACCAUUCCCCACCGCCUCGAGCCCGGCAGUGCCACCCCCAAUCACUCCCAAAAUAACACCCCAUAACCACCAAGACCCUCUCAUUCCAAAUCCCCACUCCAUUUGCCUCGAAUCUUGCCCGAACUUCUCGAAUAUCAGAUCAAAAGGUGAAUCCUAAAAUCCCAAAUUUCCAACUCAGGUUCUCAUUGAAGAUUUUUGGUCCAUUUUGACUUUAUUAAUGUGUUUUGAUAAAGAACACACGAUUAAUCUCGGAUUGGGCUGAAAGUUAAAGAUUCGAAGGCUAUCUCCAAUUCCUUACUGUCCUAUUUUAUUGUUAGGUAUUCCUUUGGCACUAUGGACAUUACUUAAGUGUAAUAUGGAGUUUGGGUAUGGAAAUGUGAUAAAACUGAUGUUGUUGUUGUUGAAUUUCAUUUCUUCUUCCUUUAAUAUAAUGUAUGGUUGUAAUGUUUAGCUCUGAGAUAUGUUGAUUUGUAUAUUGAGCAUGAAUGGGAUGUCAUAGCAUGAAAUUGAAGCUCUAAGUUGUCUGAUUCCUCUGUUUAGUUAUCAGCUUUGUUUUAAAUUGGCUAUAGGUGAAAGAAAUGCUUUGGUUAUGUUUGCAAUGAUAUUUAGGCCAGUGUUGAAGAUC